rnacentral:rRNA from 1 species
UACGAAGGGGGCUAGCGUUGUUCGGAAUCACUGGGCGUAAAGCGCACGUAGGCGGAUCUUUAAGUCAGGGGUGAAAUCCCGAGGCUCAACCUCGGAACUGCCUUUGAUACUGGGGAUCUCGAGUCCGGGAGAGGUGAGUGGAACUGCGAGUGUAGAGGUAAAAUUCGUAGAUAUUCGCAAGAACACCAGUGGCGAAGGCGGCUCACUGGCCCGGAACUGACGCUGAGGUGCGAAAGCGUGGGGAGCAAACAGG